GUGUCAGCCGCCGCGGUAAUACGGAGGAUCCAAGCGUUAUCCGGAUUUAUUGGGUUUAAAGGGUGCGUAGGCGGCCUAUUAAGUCAGGGGUGAAAGACGGUGGCUCAACCAUCGCAGUGCCUUUGAUACUGAUGGGCUUGAUUGCAGCUGAGGUAGGCGGAAUGUGACAAGUAGCGGUGAAAUGCAUAGAUAUGUCACAGAACACCGAUUGCGAAGGCAGCUUACUAAAGUGUAAAUGACGCUGAGGCACGAAAGCGUGGGGAUCAAACAGGAUUAGAAACCCUGGUAGUCC
rnacentral:rRNA from 1 species